CCUACGGGUGGCAGCAGUGGGGAAUAUUGGGCAAUGGGCGCAAGCCUGACCCAGCAACGCCGCGUGAAGGAAGAAGGCUUUCGGGUUGUAAACUUCUUUUCUCAGGGACGAAGCAAGUGACGGUACCUGAGGAAUACGCCACUGCUAACUACGUGCCAGCAGCCGCGGUAAUACGUAGGGGGCAAGCGUUAUCCGGAUUUACUGGGUGUAAAGGGGGUGUAGGCGGGAAAGCAAGUCAGAUGUGAAAACCAUGGGCUCAACCUGGGGCCUGCAUUUGAAACUGUUUUUCUUGAGUGCUGGAGAGGCAGACGGAAUGCCUAGUGUAGCGGUGAAAUGCGUAGAUAUUAGGAGGAACACCAGUGGCGAAGGCGGUCUGCUGGACAGCAACUGACGCUGAGGCGCGAAGGCGUGGGGAGCAAACAGGAUUAGAUACCCGUGUAGUC
rnacentral:rRNA from 1 species